AUGAAAGCAUCAAUGAUCUGAAAGACCAGAACUAGUAAACAUGAGACAAGAUUUCAGAAUAAAAGCACCAGAAGAAAAGCAACUUGAGCUUCUGGAUUUCACAAUAAAAGUACGGCAGAGGAGUUGUACCUGAAGUACCAGGAUGAAGUAAUCUGCCGAUUUGUUUCUCUGGAACAGGAAGUGCUUUGGUGCGUACUUGUUUCUGUCGUCAAACUUGAGAUCCUGGACGACGCUAGGAUGUUUGAUGAGCCUCAGCAGGAUCUUCUCAGAGAUGAAGCGGUGCGUGGCCAGUAGGAGCUGUGGGGAAAUUUUGACUUUCAUCUCGUGGUCGGCCAUUUUGAAGAUGGAGAAGUCUUGCUGCCUCCUGUCGUGGUGAGACACGCGACGCCUGCUGCGGUUGUCGGCUGUCGUCACAGCAACGCACGCAAACAUAAUUAUUAACAGAAUUAAAACUACAAAGUGCAGUUUCUGUAGAAAUUGUGUGUGAAUGCUAAAUAGCUGAUGGUGAACUGAAAUGACGCAGAAUUAAGUGAAAUGUAGCAAAGGUGGAAUGUGAGAAUUGGAUAUUUUUAAGAAAAACAAAUAUGUAUUGAUCAUAAAAAUCCAUUUCGCGCUUAUCACAAUAAUGCUGGCGCUGCUGUCGCGGCCGUACUGUAGAGGUCCGUCUCGUCCAGGAUUUCGGACUUGAUGAUUUCCUCGAUGACGUCCUCCAGCGUGACGAUGCCCAUUACCUCGUAGAACGGGUCGCCCUCGCCCUCGUUGUUCACGCGCUGAACGAUGGCCAGGUGAUGUGUUUGGAUGGAAAACGCAAUCAUGCAAAAUUAAUCCCCCCCCCCAGUUAAAAGGAUCUACAAACCAAAGGAACUCAAUGGAGGUUGAGUGCAUAUGUGUGUGUAUGUGUGUGCCUUCUUUUCCACUAAAACCUCGCCAAAAAGUGUAAAGAGGACUUUUGUGUCAACGAUUCAGUUGAGGUUCCAGUGUGUGUGUCUGUCUCAUACCAACACACACACAAGCACAGCAACAGUGAAUCCUUUCAGUGCAACUCACUUGUCUGGAUUCUGUUCAACUUUCUCAUUAACAAACAAACACACACACACACACACACACAUUCAUCUAAGUGGGUCAGUACAAAGUGUGUGAAUGAUGUGUUCCAUUACAUUAUCACUGGUGGGUGCAGCAUUUCAUCACCAAGCGCCCGAAUUACACUUGUCAAUAUGUGGCGGUUUGGUGUGUGACAUGGCCAAAUACAAAAAAAUACCAUUCCCGAUGUUGACAACUUAGUCGAACAAUAUUGUAAUUUUAUUAUCAGAUGCUAAUGCUACUCUGCACGAACAGUGGAGCUUUGAUCACGUUUUGGCUUUGACACGAUUGAGUCCGCUGCCAAGACAUUGGCGAAGAAACUUGGUGUGUGGGUGGGAUUAGGUAAAUUAGUGAAGUUGUGAUGUCAUAGUGAGUUGGAUAUGGGCUCACUCACAGCCACAUUUUCAAAAAUGGGCCGAUAACGCUGUUUAAUUACACAGAAGACCGGACUAUUUUUAUACAACCGAUAAAAAGUCAAUUUUCCAUAAUAUGACCCUUUUAGAAGAUCGCGCAGACAAAACUGUUCAAAUGCAAAUAUUAGCAGCCAUGUGACUUACCUAUCUUAACUCAGCCUUAGGUUAGCCUAAUUUGUUUUUUAAUUGGAUGAAGCCGAAUGAAAAUUGACCACUCUGUCAUGUCCCAGAGAUUGGAGGAUAUUGGAAUGUCUUCAUAAGCGGUCAAAUGGUUUGGUAACUCCCUCAGUGGUGGUUCAGAGGUCUUACCUCUUCAAAAUGGUCUCCCCCAGGGGUCCCUACUGGAUCCCAUUUUGUUUACUAUUAUUGAUGUAAAAAUGUAACUGAUGCCAAAUCUCACUUAAAUGCGGAUGACACCAUUUUAUAUUGUUUAGAUUCCUCAUUGUGAAGGGCUGUAGAAUAUCUGCAAUCUGCCUGUUAUUGAGAAAAAUGUUCAUCAGUUAUGCCUUGUAUUGAAUUCUGACAAGACUAAAAUGAUGUUUUCCAAAAUCAAGCAAUACCGAUGAUGUUUGUUAGAUUGUUACACUAAACGAGAAAGAGACAAAAUGAGUGUCUUACAAAGACACCGCUGGUGAAACUGGAUUUCUUUUAUAGAAUAAAAUUAUGUUUUUCUUUGGUAAUAAUAAUAAUUCAUCCAUCCAUCCAUUUUCCGAGCCGCUUCUCACUAGGGUCGCGGCCGUGCUGGAGCCUAUCCCAGCUAUCAUCGGGCACGAGACGGGGUACACCCUGAACUGGUUGCCAGCCAAUCGCAGGGCACAUACAAACAAACAACCAUUCGCACUCACAUUCACACCUACGGGCAAUUUAGAGUCCCCAAUUCAUGCAUGUUUUUGGG